rnacentral:misc_RNA from 1 species
AAGGAUCAUUAACAAGCCGUGAAGGUCACCUUGAAAAAGGACUGAUCUCUCACCUGGCCACCCUUGUUUACCUUAACCUGUUGCUUUGGUGGGCCCGCCGUGAGGCCGCCGGGGAAUCUGGGUUCCCGGGCCUGUGUCCACCAAAGUCCUACUGAACUCUUCAAUGUUUUUUCGGCUGUCUGAGCGUGAAAGCGCAAUCUUUUAAAACUUUCAACAACGGAUCUCUUGGUUCUG